GACAAAAUUCUGAUUCAUGGUAUCUAAUUACAGAUGGGGAUAUGAAUAUUGGAUAUAUGCAAUUAAAGGUUCAAAGAAUAAAAGAUCAAUUGAAUGGAAUCAGCCGCCGUAGUUUCAAAUUUUAGCCUAUUUUGUCUGCAUGCAUCAAAAUGCGGCCUCUAUUAUCCUUCUGGUUCCAAUUCAGAAUCUGUACACAUGUACACAAUUCGACUCAAAAUCAUCGCUUGAUUGAUUGGUAUCAAGAUCCGAAGUUUGAUGGUGAUGCGUUGUAUUUAUUUACGUUACCGAAUAAGGAAUUUGUUUUUUUGGGAGUGCUGACACAUAUUGCAUUGGAAAUAUUUGAAUUCCUACUAAAUUCACCGAGCGGUAGAUCACUUCUACACCUUAUUAUCAAGGCGGAGGGUUUGUGUUUGUGCUUCAACUAUAUGCUACAUUGAGACUAAGAGGUUGUUUGUUAAAUGUUUGAAGCUUGAAAUUUUAUUAAUUUCAAGAUUUUUUAAAAUUUAUUUGUUUAUUUUUUGUAACUUAUUUCGACUUUCAAACAUUUACAUCUGAAUAGAAAAAGUAGACUUUU
rnacentral:lncRNA from 1 species